GGAGGCAGGGCUCUGGCUGGCCAAGCUGGAGAGAGAGGCUCUGGCAGGAUGGCUGAGCGACAAGGGCUCUGGCUGGCUGACCAGAGCCUGAAGUUUGGAGGAAGAAAGAGAAGACACACGGGCAUCCUGGAGGACAGCUGCUAAGAUGUUAGAACAUUAAAAACCCCAUAUGCAGCCUACCAACCUCCUGGCCAGAGAGGAUCUGAAGGGUAAAGGAAAAGCAAAGAAAUAAGGAUGUGCAAACAGAAUAGGAAAGUACUUGGAUGACUGCCCUAUAAUGAAA